AGGAUGAACGCUGGCGGCGUGCCUAAUACAUGCAAGUCGAGCGAAUGGAUUAAGAGCUUGCUCUUAUGAAGUUAGCGGCGGACGGGUGAGUAACACGUGGGUAACCUGCCCAUAAGACUGGGAUAACUCCGGGAAACCGGGGCUAAUACCGGAUAACAUUUUGAACCGCAUGGUUCGAAAUUGAAAGGCGGCUUCGGCUUGUCACUUAUGGAUGGACCCGCGUCGCAUUAGCUAGUUGGUGAGGUAACGGCUCACCAAGGCAACGAUGCGUAGCCGACCUGAGAGGGUGAUCGGCCACACUGGGACUGAGACACGGCCCAGACUCCUACGGGAGGCAGCAGUAGGGAAUCUUCCGCAAUGGACGAAAGUCUGACGGAGCAACGCCGCGUGAGUGAUGAAGGCUUUCGGGUCGUAAAACUCUGUUGUUAGGGAAGAACAAGUGCUAGUUGAAUAAGCUGGCACCUUGACGGUACCUAACCAGAAAGCCACGGCUAACUACGUGCCAGCAGCCGCGGUAAUACGUAGGUGGCAAGCGUUAUCCG
rnacentral:rRNA from 1 species